rnacentral:misc_RNA from 1 species
AAAUUUCAACGCCCUUCUGGCUUAUACCAAGUCGGACAGGGUGUUUGGAUUCGUGGAAGUUGCUGGACAGUUCAACUACAAUCAGCUCUUCUAAAAUUCAUUAGCGAAACUUCGGUUACUGGCUAUGUUCCACGGUAUGAUAAUUAUCUAUACCGCUCGGAUAUCCAGGCUUUCUUUAUUGAAAGAGUUUUGCUUUCAAAUUGUCUCUUGAGACAUUAUUCGAACA